UCUUGGCCAAACCACGUAAAAUUUCUUGUGUUUCUUCUUCUUCGUCUCUUUAUCAUCCAAUGCAAGAUCAAGAUUCUCCAUUAAAAGCCUCAUAGUGCUUAAAUGAAUUUGGGUUGGAUUAGGAAGAUUUUUUUGGAUCAACCGAAUGUAUGAGUUUGUCAAAUUGACAACUCAAAUAAUACCUAAUAAAAUCUUCAACCCAACCCUCAAAAUUCGGGUUGGGUUUGGUUAGUAGGUUAUUUAUUUUCAUUUGUUUAAAGUAUAUUAUUUAUUAACUUAAAAUGCUUAAAUUUGUCUAUAACACAUUUUAAUAACUAAAAUUUUAUUAAAUUCAAAUGAAGCUCAAAUGUUAAAUAUUAAAAUUCUAUUACAAACUUAAAAAAUUCUUCAUAAUGAUAGGUAUGAAUUAUAAUAUUUACAAGUUUUAAUAUAUAUUUUAAUAAUAUUAGAAAUUCAAGUUGGGUUUGGUCAAUUUUUUUUUUUGUGUUGGAUAAAAAAAAAAACCUCAUCAAUUUCUCUCACUCUCUUCUUAUGCUUUGACAUCAGUUCUUGGAAAAAAAUAAUUCUCUUUCUUUGUAAAAGUUAUUUUGAGACUUGUGAGAAGGUAAGAAAAUUACAUUUUUACUCUUUAGUUUUCUUUCUCCUUUAGACUCCUUUGCAAGUUGUCAAAUUUCUCUUUAUUCAUUGUAUUUUCUUUUGUUUUUGUGCAUGUUCAUCCAUAGAGAAAGGGAGAAAGAAAAUAGGGUUUCAAAGGGGUUUCUUGACGGAAGAUGAAGGGAUGAGAAAAGUGAACAAGAUGGUGUUUAUAGUGGUUCAGCUCAUAGCCUACAUCCACUCUUCAAAGUGAGUUUAAGGAAACUUGAUGAACAGCCUGAGUGGUUGAAGGGAAGCAAGCUUCGAGACUAUCAGCUUGAGGGUUUGAAUUUUCUUGUUAAAAGAAUGAUUGAAGUCAUCAGAUUGAAAGCUAAGCGAUUGUGUAGAUAGUCAGGUGAUCGUUGAAGGUUGAAGAUUGAGAAGGCAUUUAGGAUUUCUUAUUUAAGUCUUAUAUUAGGAUAUUGUUUCAUGUACUAUUGUAGAAUGUAUAUAUAAACACAAUAUUAAAUUUUCAUUUUGUGUAUACAAAUCUAAAAGAUAAAUAUUAUAGUUUCUAAAAUAAUAUUAAUUUUAUUAA